AGCUAUAUCACUAUAAAGAAGGCAGUCCCAAAAGCAAGAAAGAAGGAUAGGAGAUCAAUUUCACGAAAGGCAUUGAAACUUCUCCGACUAAGCGCUACGGAAAUAGUCCUCCACCUGCCAAAACCUACACUCGCUCUCAUUCCUUACCCUACUCUUAUUCUAAAUAAAAGAAUCAAGGAAAAGAAAGCGGGUGAAGAGUUAAACAUUUCAAUGGCAAUGAAGGAAAUGGGAACACACCUGGAAAACCAUACCCUACCUUUCGAAGACUUGGAACACUUUGAACGAUAGCCUAAUAGCAGAAUAAGAGGCUAAGUAAAGGCUGCGGGAGGGAGGAAAGCACUACUAGCUACAGCUACCUCUACGCGGCCUAUACUUCUUAGGGGUAAGAUGAGGUUAUUCAUGAGGAUGAUAGCACAGACCGAAUCGAAUGGACCACAAAGAAAGCUUACACUACUAUACGUACUACAUGAACUACUCGAAAAGAAAAAGGUCGAUUGGAAUGAGAGUACGUGCUCCACGGGAUAGACUUACAGACGGGAUGAAAGUACAGAAAGCAUAGCAAUUCCCCCCUUUAGUUUAGUUUCGUGGGUUCCCUGCUAUGCUAUUCGACCAGCAUCACCUGAAAGGAAAAUACAGGGCCUCUCUGCCUACUGAUCGUGGUCUCUGGUAAGUUUUCUUGUGCACAUCCGCUCGGUUUCUUUUCGUAUGUAACCAUCGCUCAAACACAAAGAAGGGGUUUCUGCGUUUUUAACUAACGCCUUAAGAAUACGAUACCGCAAUCUGGAAACAAAAGUUUAGGAUCCCCACUCAAUGAACUGCACUACCGACUCAUCGGGGACUAAUACAAGACCAAAAAGUUAGAAAGGCCCGGGUGGGGUGCACCACCUGAGCGAAGAAAGUCAUUCCUUGAAGCGGGAGAGGUACAAAAACUAAAAAAAAAAGCAGUAAACCUUCUAUUCUAGGAUUAUCCGCUACGGCAAAUGCGGAUACAACCCUAACCCCUUAGCCUCUCUCUCCGAACUAACUUACCGACAUUAGCAUUAGGCCAGAUGGCUUAGAACAUCUCCCAAUGGAGAUACAACCGCAUACACAUACCCUCGCUCCAUGAAAAAAGGAAAAUAAGUCCUGGCUGCAGGUUACGAGGGAAACUAACUCAAUACAAAAGGAGGAAAUGUAUCUCAGCCGACUAAAGGGUAUGGGAAUGCCACAUUCACUCGCUACAUAGACCGGGGGGAUGAAGAUGGAGAUUCAUUAAGGGAGCUUUCUUCCUUAGUUGAGGCAGAAGAGAAAGAAGGAAGCUAUAUCACUAUAAAGAAGGCAGUCCCAAAAGCAAGAAAGAAGGAUAGGAGAUCAAUUUCACGAAAGGCAUUGAAACUUCUCCGACUAAGCGCUACGGAAAUAGUCCUCCACCUGCCAAAACCUACACUCGCUCUCAUUCCUUACCCUACUCUUAUUCUAAAUAAAAGAAUCAAGGAAAAGAAAGCGGGUGAAGAGUUAAACAUUUCAAUGGCAAUGAAGGAAAUGGGAACACACCUGGAAAACCAUACCCUACCUUUCGAAGACUUGGAACACUUUGAACGAUAGCCUAAUAGCAGAAUAAGAGGCUAAGUAAAGGCUGCGGGAGGGAGGAAAGCACUACUAGCUACAGCUACCUCUACGCGGCCUAUACUUCUUAGGGGUAAGAUGAGGUUAUUCAUGAGGAUGAUAGCACAGACCGAAUCGAAUGGACCACAAAGAAAGCUUACACUACUAUACGUACUACAUGAACUACUCGAAAAGAAAAAGGUCGAUUGGAAUGAGAGUACGUGCUCCACGGGAUAGACUUACAGACGGGAUGAAAGUACAGAAAGCAUAGCAAUUCCCCCCUUUAGUUUAGUUUCGUGGGUUCCCUGCUAUGCUAUUCGACCAGCAUCACCUGAAAGGAAAAUACAAAACAAUAAGAUAGGGAAACUUAGACAUCCGAAUAAAGGAUAGGGGAAGAAUUACACACCUUUAACCACACUCACUCGCUCAACGAAGGAAAAAAUAGAAAUAAGGAAUUUGGAAACUUGAAGACCACAUUCUAAAGGAAAAAGCAUUGCCCCGAAAGCUUGUAAGGAAGACUUGGAACGGCUUACACAAUCCCUCACUUCAAACGGAAGACAAAUAAGAAUACUGUGACUAACCCCCGUUCCCCUAGUAUGUGACUAAUCCUUUCUUUGUCUAUAGGGUUCCAACGGUAUGGGCAGAUAUCAAUCCUCUUUUCAUUUUUUCAUUGCGAUUAACAGAAAGAAUUCUCCGGGUUUCAAAGAAAAAGCCUUCCUUAUAGUAUAAAGAAGGAAGUACGCCUAUUCUCCGUCUCUGUUAGCAGCGAGCCUAAAAAGAAAGGCAGUGCCAAAAUAAAGUUUCCGAUUGGAAGGUGCGAUAGGACUUCAAUAAUACAUCCAAGCCUCAAGCCAAUACAUGAUUUUCCCUUAAACGAGUUAUUUCCCGAGAUAUAGAAAUGGGUACCUGCGAAAGUGAGUUCUCUAGCCAGCCAGUUACAAGCCAGUAUUCAGCCAGGGGUAUGGAAAGCCUGUUGAAAGGUGCCUUCUUUUGGGGGUUAUAACACCUAAGUCGAUGCUUUCUUAGGUAGGGCAAUCCUGUUAUCUGAGUUAGGAGAGUUUUUUUACUUUAGUAUCUUCAUACAUACGGUACCUAUCCCGAUUGCAAGGGCGCAGGGUCAAAGCAUGGUUAAAGGUUCAAGUAGGAAACUAUACCUUCUUGAUCUUGCUUUCUUUCUUCUCCGUCAGUUAAGUAAGAGCAAGAGCAAACUAAGGGGAUUGAGCCAGUCUUGGCAGUUCAAGUAAAAGGAGCGAGGUGCCUUCAGGCAGGUAUCUUUAUGAAGUCAUGGAAGAGAAUCAAGUGCAGAUAAGAAAGUACCCCGUUUCCACCACAACAGGGAAGCUACCACAGAAGUAAGAGAUUGGUUGGGGAGUUUCACCUGCACCCGAAGCUACGAAGUAAGCGAAUCAAGGCAGUUAUUAGGCUUCCUUUAACGAAAAGAGUAGAAAGCCAGUCCCUUAAGGCUUAUGCGUACCCUGUGCCCCAUUCCCGUUCAAGCCGAAGACUUAUUCUUAUUACAGGAUGUCACCUUGAAUAGAGUAAUAAAGCACGCCGGGCUUAUGGCUUUUUUAUCUACUGUUGAAAGCUAGUCCUCCAAGCCUGUGCCCGAGAGGAGGCCCCCAUAUUCUGUUCCGAGCGCGUAGUAUGUAUAUACAUAGUAUUCCCGAGCGAUAGUAGCCCUUGAGCCUAUGCCUUCUAGUAUUCCCCCCAGCGCCAGCUAUUUUUGGACUUUCCUUUCCAAUGCUCGAAUGCGUAUGUUGCUUCAAGCGAGAAAGUAGACCCCUAUAUCGUUGUUAGGACAGACAGAAUAUACAUCCAAACCAAAGGCAGUUCUUGUGCCAGCACCUACAACCCGCUCAUUCCCUUCUUGUCCCCUUUUUUACCCCUUUUCAUUAGCUUCGCUACCGUGCUGCCUAAUAAGAAAAAGAACUGAGGAGCUGGAACUUGUCGAGCUUUCAUGAACAGCGUAUAGUCGGCUAAGACUAAAUUCCGUACCUUCUUUCACUAAGGGUUCAAAGAGUCCGGUCAUAUCCUCAAGUCAGCUAUCUUUCCUGUAAGCCUUAUCGUACCUCGUUAUCGUUUAAGGGACUGAAAUCCAAUAAAAAGACGGACAGCCAUAAAAGAAAUCCCUAACGCCUGUUCCCGAGUGGAGGAUGGAAAGAUACGUAAAGCCCAUAAGCGGAUAGCUUUCUUACUAAAAAAAAUUCCCAUGAUACUCCAACUUCGAAGAUUAUUGGCUACUUACUUACUACUUUCAUUCAAAUGCCACUGGUGCGUAAGACAUUGAGUUGGAUUACUUUCUUUCUGGUAAUGCCUGUCUUUCCCUCUCCCUUGCUCUUGUCCUUGCCCUUCUACUUACUGGCUUGGCUCUUAGAAAAGGAUUCGGCGGGGGAUUGAACUAAAAAGGAACUAAGCGGCACUCCUCCCUUGCUUCUUACCCCGUAGUGGGAUCUUUUUUUCAAAUCGAUCGUAGAUGUAGCUAGGACAAAAGUCCCUUCUUGUGACAACAUAAGAGAAGGAUACUACCGUCCUCUCUUUUUCACCUUUGGCCUGGUCAAAAAAGCCAUUAACGACCCACGAAAAAAGCUGCUAGUCGAAGAUCCACUAUUUACUCUAUUUAUAAUGGGAUAGGACCAUAGGAAAGAAAGUAAAGUGGAAUCCCGGUGCUUUCGGGUGAUUGUUCCCCGCAUUCAAAUGCUACCCACGUGAAUGCUAGUCGAAUCCGUAUGCCCAAACCACAUAAGAUAAGAUAAGCAGCUAGAUCGACUAGUUGAACUUCCCUUCUCCCCGAAACUGCAAUCUUUCAAGCAAAGAGUAGUCAUAGGCACCUUCAUACUCAAUCCAUAUCCAUCAAUCGGCAUAGUAGUCAAGCAAGCAAAGCCAGCCCUCUCUCCUACUCGAGCUUCGUACUCCCCAUCAAGUGGCACAACACACGUAAGCGGGGGCUGCCCCUUACUAUAUUUCCUUAAUUUCAAUUGCGGGGCAGGACAUGAAUCGCCUCACCGGAAAGCAGUUCUCCUGUGGUUAAGCAAGAAACUUCCUCUUCACUGGUCCCCAAUAGAAAGCAAGAUUACCAUUCGACUGUAGAGCUAUGGAGGCUAGCCUUCCCUAUUCUUAGCGCAUGGGAUGGACAAGCAAGGCGGAAAGGGAGCUGGUCAUUGAAUUCAUUGCCAUUGGAUCGGUAUCUGUCUAUCUGGGGUGUAUGUUGCCAAGGCCUCCCCGUCAAGGAGAGGAUAUGUCACAUAGGUAGCCAUCUUAGUAAUGGAUGCGGAGUCAAUGCAGUUAGGAUAGCCCUUCGGUCGAACGAGUAAACUACCAACAUUCACCAUUGAUUCAUCCAAGGAAGGUGUCUUGGAAGGACGGAGACCUUACUUAGAACCUGAUGAGAAAUCCUUUUUUUAGAAAGAAGUAUGCGAUCGCUCUCUUACUGAUUCUAGUGAAAGGAUAGCGUUCUUUGCCAGCUCGAUUGGUAAGCAUCAUCCUAAGGGGCUUCAAACUUUGGCCGAAAGAUUUGCCCGGCUUCUAGCUUUGUUCGAAAUAGGGUGUAGCGCUUUCUUUCUAAAAGCUAUAGGCGAUCUGAAGCGUAGGCAGGACCGGGGUCUAGCACAAUAGGAGAAGCGGUAACAUCGCUUGAAGCAACCUUUCCGAAAGAGACCGCAGUUAGUUCCUGUCCUAAAUAGGAUUCUUUUUUCUCGAGGUAAACUAGCGAGCCUGCUUCGCCCCUCAUUCUUGAUCUUGUAAAUCAUUGAAUCGAUUUCCUACUCCAAAAGAAAGGAGAGUAGGCGGAUCAAGUGACAGAAUCUAUCCAUUGAAUACCUGAUCAGAGCAUGCUUGGUCAAAGAACCUUUCUUCCUUUACUCUUUCGGCUAAAGGUGGGAAAGCUACUAGCAAAGCCUCUUGUCUUGUAGACGGAACUUUCCUCUAUUUAGGAUAGGACUUAUUUAGGAGAAGGAAGACUGCUUAUUUAAGCCUUUUCCUGCUAUGGUUUACAUGUUCACCUUAUCACUCGAAGGAGAUGACCCAAGAAUUUCGCUAUUUCGAUUUUGCUAGUCCUUGGGAACAAUCUAGUGAGAAGUCCGUCCUAUUGAGGGAUAGGUUAGGGCUAGGGCUGCUAUUACAGGAUUUGGUUCUAAGGCUUUCGUGACCAAAGCCAAAGGUAUAGGGGCAGGACCUGGAACAUAGGAUGUAGAGAGAAGAAUAGCCUUAAGAAUAGCGUUAUAGAAUCCUUCCGGAUAAGAAAGAUUCCUUGAUAGAAGAAGGUAGUUUACUAGGAUUCAACCAAGGGUGCCGGAAGCGGAUGAUGCCAAUAAGAAUGAGUUAGUUUACUUCCUUUUGAACCUGUGAUUCUCCUUUCCUUCUUGCCUUCCUUGGAGACCUCAUCCCUGAUCCUUCUAUUGUCAGUCAAGCAAUCUCUCUGAAAUUUCUCUCUGUCAGCGACAGUAAGACCUGGUGCUUCAAACCAAGGAGUAGUUGACAGCAGCUUUCCCUUGUUCUCAUACUUCUAGCAUUACCUGGGAUAGACCUGGGAAUCUUCUCUUUCCUUUCUCCUUAGUUUCCGAGAAGAUGGUAGACUCAUAAUCCUUCCUUAAGCAAUAGGAUAGGGAUUGAGAAUCUGAUCUUUCUUUGCAGAAACCAUGUUUUCAAGGUAAGGCCGUAAGUCAUUCCGUCUUUAGCUUCUUUCCCUCGAUCAGAGGCCUACUUGUAUAAAGCAAAACCCGAGUUUGUCUUACUUGAUGGGUCAACUCUCAUUAAGCGUUCACCAACAGGCCUUAAUCGUAAGUAAGCAAAUCCCUUGUUCUUUUGCUUUUGAGGGAAGUCAUUAAUGAAGUGUAUCGGUUUACAAGACCGGUAGGCCAGGUGGGCUCUAGCAUAAGGAGUAAACUCACAAAACAUAAAGAAAGCGUUUUGUGAAAGUAAAGAUCGAGGUUUAAGCCAAUUCCUUUAUGAGUCUGCAUACUUAUUCAUUUAGUCUUCCUUGAGGCAGACUUCAUGAUUAGCUUUUUUCUUCAACUAUAUGGCUGGCAAUUCUCACUGCAACUGGAUGGCUAGAAAAGGGGGAUUUCCGUAAUGUAAUACUUUUUGGAGGGCCUUAUCACUGUAAAGAAACUAGCAGCUUUAAUUAGAUCUCAUACUCGACUUUCGAAGGAAAUAACAAGUAAGUGUUAUUGGAAGGGCUGUAACAAAACUUCCAAUAGCGAGCAGGGAUGAAAGAACGAGACUUGACUCUAAUCAAUAGGCGAGAGAGGCAUUCUAUUUCUAUUAGGGAGAUAAAAUCACUUGAAAACUCGUAGAGCUUAAGAGCUUAUUGGCUUGUCCUAGAACUGGCUAUCCAAGACAACAACUGCAACUUUCGCGCCAACUGGAUUACUUGAAACUCCUUCCAAAAUGGCUUACGAGGCUUACCCUAUGAUUUCAACUGGAUAUGACUUCAAUCGAAGGGACCGUAUUCAUUCGCCUUCUCCUAAUCGCUCCUAUCCGAAUCUCUUUUCUUUACUUAGCCUUAGCCUUUUACCCUGCUCGCUUUUUGGCUUACUUUCCAAGAAAUGAAGCAAGAAAUAGCACUUCCUGUAUGGUUGAGAUAUUUUGGAACAGUAGACUACGAGAGGAAGGUAUGAUAUUACUCUACUCCUACUUCGAAGAGUUAAACUCUCUGGCUAGAGGUUAACCUGGCUGGAAGAGAACUCCCCUUGGCUUGACUUCUCUAGUUUACUUUCUCUUGUUGAACUAGCUUAGUAGGCCCUUUCCUUGUACAGGUAGUACUGCUAGCCCUUCACUCCCAGACCUGAGAGCUCACCCGCUUCCUUACUCACUGGCACUGAAACUCUAUCCCUUUCUUACCUUGCUGUUCUAGCAAUUGAAGAGGCAGCUACUGGUUUGAUCAGGAAACGUAUACUAUUAUACCCUAUUCCCAUGGGAAGGGAAGCACUCACCACUCAAACAAAUGGCUCUGGCUAGAAGGAAACUAUAAUUCAAAGCGACGAGGAGAUAGAAGGUGACAGGAUGGAAUGAUCUUUUUUCUGCAACUGCUUCGUUUGGCUCGGGAGGAAUAAAAAGGGUUGAAAAAUUUCAAACGUGUUUAAACUUUUAUAACUUACUUGCCCCAGCACUCAAAAACGGCUUAAGCUUUCUACCCACUCCAUGGAAGGGGAGCUAGCCUGGAAAUGAAAGAAAUCCAUCUAUUGAGCCCUAAAAGGAAAAAUCUCUCUAUUAGCAUUAGACCUCCUCGGGAAUAUUCUCUCUCAUGGAAAGACAUCUAUCUUUGAUCUAUAACCCAAAAAGGGAAAACAUGCAAGAAAGCGCUCCACUCCAAGUGGCACUUGCAACUCAAAAGGUUUAUCUUCUUACUUAAACUCGAUCAAUGGCUGGCAAUUGGCCUGAAUCACCAUUAAGACAAUUCACACUUUUGAUACAAUCCCAAUAGAUGAUAGAAGGAUUGGAUGGUCAUUCGAAAUGCAACAGGGUGAUCGAUAGAUGAAGGGUAGAUAGGCUGGUUAGGAAAAACUUUCUAGUAAGAUAAAAGGACGGAUACUGACAUAUUCAGUUAGUCCUUCUCUUUCACCCUCGGUAUCUUCGAGAAGCAUUUGAAGUGAAGCAAAAAUAUGUACACUAUUGGAAAAACUUUAUUCUGCUAUUCCCAUUUUCAAAAUUCAAUAUCUUCCCUAAGGGAGCUGCCUACAAGGGAUUAGUAGGGGAAGAAAGUCCAACUUCCAACUCCAUAUAAGCAAACUUGGUUUACAAGAAAAUAGCAAUGGAAAAACAAACACUAUUAUAAUACGAACUCGUAUAGAUAUAAUACAUAGAAAGAUCAUCAGUGAAGAGGAAUGCUUCAUUGCCAACUCUCACACUGGAUCUGAAAGGAAAAGCCCUCAUAAAGAUCGCAUUCCCAACUGGCUUUGACGCCUAUCCUGAUCCCGCCUUCAAGUUUUCACCGGCUUUCAAAGAAACUGUCGUAUUGGAUAGGGAUAGACUGCAACUGGAAUUCCAAUUCAAACCGACAGAAAGGAAGGACAGAGACUGC
rnacentral:lncRNA from 1 species